AAGAUGGCGAACAUAACACUGGUGGUUCUUUUCCAAAGUCCUUGGAUUGCCUGACAAGAUCAGAUUCAUUCUCCUUAUCAUCUCUUCCUGGAGCACCCUUUUCUCGAUGACUUCAAUGUUGCAGGCUUCCUUUUUGAUCUCAGCUUCAUCACCUGCAUCCAUAGCAAGAAGACCUACCUGAAGAUCAUUCAGGAAAAACUGCUCUGAAAAAAAGAGCUUGAAGACUAAUCAUGGUUAUCCAAAGAGGAGAGAUGGUCAUUGGCAAGGGGGAAUAACAUGGAAUCUAUGACUAAGAACCUCUAAGCAGAGGAAUCUAUAAAGAGACUUUAGAAGUAGUAUUCUUGAAAAGGAGGACAUUUCCUAAAAUUAAGGGAUGGGUUUAAGUAGGGUUAUCCACUUUAUGAAAUUAUAGGUCAUGAUUUACUUAUAGCCCCACAUCCUAUCUCCUAGGGGUCAAU
rnacentral:lncRNA from 1 species